UUUUUUUGAGACGGAGUUUCGCUCUUGUUACCCAGGCUGGAGUGCAAUGGCGCGAUCUCGGCUCACCGCAACCUCCGCCUCCUGGGUUCAGGCAAUUCUCCUGCCUCAGCCUCCCGAGUAGCUGGGAUUACAGGCGUGCGCCACCAUGCCCAGCUAACUUUUUGUAUUUUGAGUAGAGACGGGGUUUCACCAUGUUGACGAGAAUGGUCUCGAUCUGUUGACCUCGUGAUCCACCCGCCUCGGCCUCCCAAAGUGCUGGGAUUACUGGCUUGAGCCACCGCGCCCGGCCCAUAUUUAAGAAUAUGUGAAGCCUUUAGAACAAAGGUGCAGGAUUACCUGGCAAUGAUGAAACCAGUUCUGUGACACAUAAAUAGUAACAUUCUAUAGAGAGAAAAGAUCACUUUUAAAGGGUCCGACAGUAUAAUGGUUAAAAGAAGUAGUAUAAUGGUGAAUGUUUAACAACUAGCCUGGGAGGUGGAGGUGUAAGGUACUUAGUAGAAUGUUUGCUCAUUUCCAUGGUAUAAGUACUUUCAUCACAGUCACUUUCAGGUUACAGAUAUGAUGUCACGAAACACGGAGUCUGGAAAAGUUUUAAGCUCAAUGAAAAGAAGUAGUAUGAAAAAUGCAAUUCUAGUGUAAUGGCAGGGAACAUCUUAAUGGAAGCCAAAAGCAUAAACUGAAAUGAAGAAAAAUGAUAGAAAUACUAACAUUCCAAAAAUUCUCUUAUAUUACAACACCAGUAAACUAUUCUCAUAUCAGAACCAUGAACAUAGAACAAAGAACCAUAAUAGUGAAAAUACAGAAGACAAAAUGACAUCUCAUUUAGAAGAUUAUGAAAAUCAGGAAACUAUCUCCCAAGCAGAAAUCAAAAAGAAGGAAAAAUUGAUUUUUAUAAUUAUAAAGGUCGGCAACAAAGUUAUUGAGUUCAGUAAGUACUGUGAUCUUUGAUUAUGGUCUUCCCUGGGAAAUAAUUUUGUUCAACACUGUUUAAUAAAAAUUUUUUUUUGAAACUGUUUCCUUUAAUUUUACAGCAAAUCACACAGAACAUAAAAAUGAUACUUGAGCAGACAUUUUGAAAAUAAAAUGAUCAAACUAUUAUGAGACUCUGGAUUGGCUAUUCCAAGACUAAACAGUUGUAUCUGUUGUUUCAUUUAAGCUGUUUUAACAAGAAAGUCAUUACUUACCACAGAUGUGUUUCCAGACCAGAUGUAUACAAUGAGAACCAUUGAAUGUCAUGAAGACUCCACAGAACACAAGAAAUCUAUAUUAAUACUUGGAUUACAAGUAAAUCAAUUACAAAUGCAUCUACUUUAAUGUCUUCAAUAGGAGAUAAGAAACAAAUAACAUUCAGUGUUAUUUUGAAGAGUUUAACAAAACAUAAUGAGGAUUAAUACAUUUUUAAGUGAAAGACUCGCACUUCAGAGGUAACAAUGAAGAUUGACUUUCUUCAGAUUUCUAAAUUUGCUCCAUUUUUACAACAACAGUUGGGAAAAUGUCAAAAUUAAAAAGAAAUAAGUGUGACAUACCUAAAAGAGUUUAAGAAUUAAUUCUAAUAAUGGUAAAAUGUCUAUAAAAUGAAGUGAUAAACAGACAAACAAAAAGGACACGAAAUACUAAUCCUUGUUCUACCUUCUAAACUGGAUACAAAACACUAAUUAAAUAGCAACUAUUGUACUCUCCUGUUUUAACUAAAAAACCUGAUGAAUUUUUUUUCUAUUAAAAACCACCUAAUUAUCUGUGACUUUAAA